rnacentral:rRNA from 1 species
GAUGAACGCUAGCUACAGGCUUAACACAUGCAAGUCGAGGGGUAACGAGAGGAAAGCUUGCUUUCCUUGUCGACGACCGGCGCACGGGUGAGUAACGCGUAUCCAACCUGCCCCCAACUAGGGAAUAACCUUGCGAAAGUAAGACUAAUACCCUAUAAUUUCCUCAGAUGUCAUCUGACGAGGAAUAAAGAUUUAUCGGUUGGGGAUGGGGAUGCGUCUGAUUAGCUUGUUGGCGGGGUAACGGCCCACCAAGGCAACGAUCAGUAGGGGUUCUGGGAGGAAGGGCCCCCACAUUGGAACUGAGACACGGUCCAAACUCCUAGGGGAGGCAGCAGUGGGGAAUAUUGGUCAAUGGGCGGAAGCCUGAACCAGCCAAGUAGCGGGCAGGAUGACGGCCCUAUGGGUUGUAAACUGCUUUUAUACAGGAAUAAAGUUAGCCACGUGUGGUUAUUUGUAGGUACUGUAUGAAUAAGGACCGGCUAAUUCCGUGCCAGCCGCCGCCGUAA